rnacentral:tRNA from 1 species
UUUAAUAUGGCAGAAUAGUGUAAUGAAUUUAAGUCUCAUAAAUAAAAUUAAUAAUUUUUAUUAAAA